GGGAAACAGAAGCUAAGAUAAUAGAAGCCCGCAGUCAUCCAGUUUUCUACCUGAGAGUUGGACGCAAUGGUUACGGCGAGAACCCCUGCCUCCUCAGCCUCAUCCGUAGUGCUUGUUACCAGCUUCUCCCUCAGCCACUACAUCUGUGUAGUAGUUAGGCAGGGAUCGUCAGAGAAGACUUCCAACAUGGAUGCUGAAGAUGUGACAGUUAGUUUGUGUAGGUGUUUGGUGUUUUGAUGGCAUUGUGAGGUCGGAGUAGGGGGUGGGAAGGGGUGAGGCGCAGGGGUUAUCGAAAGAACGUUCUGGAAGGUUCGUAAUGUCAAGACGACGCACGUUGGGGAGCAUGUUCAGAGAAUUAUCGAGGGUCGAAGGCAGGAAGGAGGAUGAGUGAACCGGGAUCGAGUAAACCCGGAAUCAAGUAAACCUGGGCUUAUUUUGUUAUUAGGGAAUCCAACAGGAGACCUAUUUGGAGCCUUUAUUUUGUGGCAGACCAGUAUUUUCUUGUGAUUUGUUUUCAGUCUAUAGGGCCACUGGCUGGGAUUUAGUGGAAACCCUCCCUGAGGCAUUUGUUUCUGCGUAGUUAGUGGAGACCGAAACAGAGGUGGUGACGCAGUCCUCCACUGAGCUGUACCUCUAUGACAGCAUGGCUGGACUUGUGUUUUUCUCUCCCCCAUGUAGCUCUCCCUCUUGUUCUUUCUCUCUCUCUCUCUCUCUCUCUCUCUCUCUCCCUCUUGUUCUCUCUAUCUCUGGGAGGGAGGGAGAGCAGCAAAUAGGGUCUAAAUGUCAUGGCUCGAGUUCAGAGAGAGAGAGAAAGCGAGGGAGAGAAAGAGGGAGGGAGACGGAGACAGUGAGAAGGAGAAAUGUUUUACCUUGCUCUCUUGGUAACUCUGCACUGGCAGCUCUCCAGUUCACAUUGACUAGACUUCCUGAAGCUGCUGCAUCACAGGCCCCAGUGCCAGAGCUGGCCUCCCAUUGGGUGGGAGGAGCUCCCUAGACACUGCUGGUAGCACAAUGCUAUUGGACGGGCACAAGGGAGCAGGUGGAGGACAGCUUCUGAUUGAUGGAGAAGUAGUGUUAUUGUGUAUGGAGUUUUCUUUUCUUUUUUUGAAAGAUGUUGUAUAAGUUCUAUAGGGGUUCUAAUGAAAUGUGUACAGGUACAGUAUAUGGUUUUGUUUUUACAUUAUUGUUUCUUUUCGACGGCACAUGUGGCUGUAUUGUUUGUUCUCUUCUGAAAGGAGUGGAAACAUUAUGUGCACUGUAGGUACACACAUGAGUGUGUAUCUGUUUGCUAGUUUCCAGUAAUGUCUUGUGUAAUCUGUUCUCACAGUCUGAUUGGUUUGUGUUCUGUGUUGCUGACAUUGAUCAGCUCCUGUCUGUUUCCUGUGACACUGGGGGGCCAACCACAGUCAACUUCCUGCUCUGUCCAGCUUCCCCUUCCCUUCCCAGAUGAGCCAGCUUCUCAGUCUCUUAAUAGUGUUUGGUUUGGUUGCUGUAGUACGGUUACGGUCCCUGAGACCGAGGGUUCUCUGAGCUGGCAUUCUGUGAUGUCACAAACCUGCCACAUUGGCCAUUUCUAAAUUGAUGGAAGAACAACUGUUUGCCAAGGGUCUGCAUUGCAGCUGCUGCUGCUGCAGUUGGCACCACUCUUUCGCUCUCAGGAACACUCAAGCGUGCACACACACUCGGUUUUUACGAAACGAAGGCAAUACACACGCUCAAACACACACACUGAGUCUGUCUUACGCAGACGGCCCUCAUCUCGGAGGUUGAGGGUGCUACAUCCUGGUGGCACCCCAUGGGGAAUCAUUUCUGAUGAAUGAGGAUGCAACAGGAGAGGGUUAGCCUGCCAGUGUGUGAUGGGGGCACACACAGAAAGUAAUUAGAAGGGCACAAGGAGGACACCCAUACUUGUGUGUGUCCCCAGCACACGCUGGUGUGUGUGUGUGUGUGUGUGUGUGUGUGUGUGUGUGUGUGUGUGUGUGUGUGUGUGUGUGUGUGUGUGUGUGUGUGUGUG
ensembl:lncRNA